GCGAGCUGGGCCGGCGGGUGUGGUUCGAGAGCGCGCGGAGUCCAGACUGGCGGCAGGGCCCGAGGGGCCGACCCGCAGCGUCCCUGGUCUCUCCAGCCCUCACUCGGAACCGCACACAGUGACAAUACCCUCCCCUCCCUUGGGCUGGACCCCUCUCUACAGCUAGGAGCCAAUGGCAGAAGACAAAACCAAACCGAGUGAGUUGGACCAAGGGAAGUAUGAUGCUGAUGACAACGUGAAGAUCAUCUGCCUGGGAGACAGCGCAGUGGGCAAAUCCAAACUCAUGGAGAGAUUUCUCAUGGAUGGCUUUCAGCCACAGCAGCUGUCCACGUACGCCCUGACCCUGUACAAGCACACAGCCAUGGUAGAUGGCAAGACCAUCCUUGUGGACUUUUGGGACACGGCAGGCCAGGAGCGGUUCCAGAGCAUGCAUGCCUCCUACUACCACAAGGCCCACGCCUGCAUCAUGGCCCUGCUUCAAUGCCACCACCUCCAUGCAGCCUCCUCUGAUGUUUGUCAUUAGCAUAGCUCUUUCGUGUGUGCUCCUGCACCACUGAUCCCUUCCACAACAUGGACUGUCUGUGAUGCACGUGUGCAGGAUGCUGGGAGUGCCCAGGUGGAAAGACACACGUGCUGCCCCCAGGAACUGACUGACUGGUAGGCACAGUACAGAUACCAGUGGUGAGGACAGUGAGGAUUCUUCCCUUCUGACCCUUUGCAGAUGGUAAAGGAAGGAACUCGUCACCUAAUUCCCCUGACUGCCCCUUGAGAACAAAAUCCCUUGAAAAAUUCCAAAAGCUUUAACUCUGAUAACUGUUAAGGUACUAAGCAAGAGGAUGAUGGGGCAAGGCAAAUGGGGGCAGUGUAGUGCAGAAGUCUGACCCUCAAGAGCAGAGGAGCUUGCUCCUAGCCAGUUUG
rnacentral:sRNA from 1 species